rnacentral:misc_RNA from 1 species
UAAUAAGUGUUUUAUGGCACUUUUUAAAUCCAUACCCACCUUGUGUGCAAUGUCAGUCGAUCUUCUUCAUGGAGAUCGACCAAACAUCAACCUUUAUCUUUUAACUCUUUGUCUGAAAAAUAUUAUGAAUAAACAAUUCAAAAUA